AUUGAACGCUGGCGGCAUGCCUUACACAUGCAAGUCGAACGGUAACAGGUUAAGCUGACGAGUGGCGAACGGGUGAGUAAUGCAUCGGAACGUGCCCGGUCGUGGGGGAUAACGCAGCGAAAGCUGCGCUAAUACCGCAUACGAUCUGAGGGUGAAAGCGGGGGACCGUAAGGCCUCGCGCGAUCGGAGCGGCCGAUGUCAGAUUAGGUGGUUGAUGGGGUAAAGGCCUACCAAGCCGACGAUCUGUAGCUGGUCUGAGAGGACGACCAGCCACACUGGGACUGAGACACGGCCCAGACUCCUACGGGAGGCAGCAGUGGGGAAUUUUGGACAAUGGGCGCAAGCCUGAUCCAGCAAUGCCGCGUGCAGGAAGAAGGCCUUCGGGGUGUAAACUGCUUUUGUACGGAGCGAAAAGGCUCUCUCUAAUACAGGGGGUUCAUGACGGUACCGUAAGAAUAAGCACCGGCUAACUACGUGCCAGCCGCCGCCGUAAAAC
rnacentral:rRNA from 1 species